rnacentral:rRNA from 1 species
UACAGAGGGGGCCAGCGUUAUUCGGAAUUAUUGGGCGUAAAGAGCUCGUAGGCGGCUUGUUGCGUCGACUGUGAAAACCCGCGGCUUAACUGCGGGCUUGCAGUUGAUACGGGCAGGCUAGAGUUCGGUAGGGGAGACUGGAAUUCCUGGUGUAGCGGUGAAAUGCGCAGAUAUCAGGAGGAACACCGGUGGCGAAGGCGGGUCUCUGGGCCGAUACUGACGCUGAGGAGCGAAAGCGUGGGGAGCGAACAGG